rnacentral:rRNA from 1 species
UGGGGAAUAUUGGACAAUGGGCGAAAGCCUGAUCCAGCCAUGCCGCGUGUGUGAAGAAGGUCUUCGGAUUGUAAAGCACUUUAAGUUGGGAGGAAGGGCAGUAACUUAAUACGUUGCUGUCUUGACGUUACCGACAGAAUAAGCACCGGCUAACUCUGUGCCAGCAGCCGCGGUAAUACAGAGGGUGCAAGCGUUAAUCGGAAUUACUGGGCGUAAAGCGCGCGUAGGUGGUUUGUUAAGUUGGAUGUGAAAGCCCCGGGCUCAACCUGGGAACUGCAUUCAAACUGACAAGCUAGAGUAUGGUAGAGGGUGGUGGAAUUUCCUGUGUAGCGGUGAAAUGCGUAGAUAUAGGAAGGAACACCAGUGGCGAAGGCGACCACCUGGACUGAUACUGACACUGAGGUGCGAAAGCGUGGGGAGCAAACAGGAUUAGAUACCCUAGUAGUCCCUGAGCGGGCUGGCAAGGCGCAU